rnacentral:rRNA from 1 species
AUUGAACGCUGGCGGCAUGCCUUACACAUGCAAGUCGAACGGUAACGCGGGGCAACCUGGCGACGAGUGGCGAACGGGUGAGUAAUAUAUCGGAACGUGCCCAGUAGUGGGGGAUAGCCCGGCGAAAGCCGGAUUAAUACCGCAUACGACCUACGGGUGAAAGGCGGGGGGAUCGCAAGACCUCGCGCUAUUGGAGCGGCCGAUAUCAGAUUAGGUAGUUGGUGGGGUAAAGCCUACCAAGCCUACGAUCUGUAGCUGGUCUGAGAGGACGACCAGCCACACUGGGACUGAGACACGGCCCAGACUCCUACGGAGGCAGCAGGU